GUGAGGAAUAUUGGUCAAUGGGCGGGAGCCUGAACCAGCCAAGUCGCGUGAAGGAAGAAGGAUCUAUGGUUCGUAAACUUCUUUUGCAGGGGAAUAAAGUGCAGGACGUGUCCUGUUUAGUAUGUACCCUGAGAAUAAGGAUCGGCUAACUCCGUGCCAGCAGCCGCGGUAAUACGGAGGAUCCGAGCGUUAUCCGGAUUUAUUGGGUUUAAAGGGUGCGUAGGUGGUUUGAUAAGUCAGCGGUGAAAGUUUGCAGCUUAACUGUAAAAAUGCCGUUGAAACUGUCGGACUUGAGUGUAAAUGAGGUAGGCGGAAUGCGUGGUGUAGCGGUGAAAUGCAUAGAUAUCACGCAGAACUCCGAUUGCGAAGGCAGCUUACUAAGCUACAACUGACACUGAAGCACGAAAGCGUGGGGAUCAAACAGGAUUAGAUACCCUAGUAGUCC
rnacentral:rRNA from 1 species